AUCUUCACCACCUGUGCCUCGUUCACCCUCAUUACACCUUGCAUUUAACCUCGUGUCUCAUUCUUUCUCGUCGCCAGUUCGUUGUACCUUGUCGUCCCGUUCCAGCAUUCGUUGUUUCCACGUCACAGACUCACAAUUGACCGAGACUUCAUGAUGAUGUUUGGAGAGGAAGUGUCAGGCAGAUUUUUCUUUAGCAAAUUGGCCUACUUUUUUCAAACCAAGGAUCUGGGCAGCCUGCAAAACAAUGACUUCUAAAGAGCAUAUUGAAGACCUCUUGUCUGAGCAGCACGGUUCAGGCUAGGACAGUGACCUGACAAAAAUUCCACUUGCUUCCCGCUACCUCCAAGGGCCACAAGACGAGUGCUGAAAUCAGCUCAUGUGAAGCUGUAAACAAUGCUGUGAGAUAUUUUCAGGUGCUGCAGAAAAUGGAUGGCUGGACGUCACACAUCAGCUGUGUCAGCAUUUCGGCCUGCAAGAACUUCACUUGGAACUUGAGGAACAUAUAAGAGGCUGUCUUGGUCUGCUUUUGUAAAAUGUAAUGCUCCGUGGGAUAAAAACCAGCAGAUCAACCACAGCACGUGAAUGCAAAUUGUAGUUUGUCCGACUCAUUCGGCAGAGGUGGGAUUAAGUCUCAAGUCAAAACCUUCAAGUCUCAAACAAGUCUCAAGUCGAGUCGCCACUAAAUUUCAAGCAAGUCGAGUCAAGUCAUUACUUGGUUUAAGCAAGUCACAAGUCAAGUCAUAAAAUCCAGUCGGUGUGGUAAUAAAAUAAUCAAAGUUUUUUUCACCAUAAAUCAUUCAUUCAUUCAUUCAUCUUCCGUCUGGCUUUUCCUCACUAGGGUCGCGGGCGUGCUGGAGCCUAUCCCAGCUAACUUCGGGCGAGAGGCGGGGUACACCCUGAACUGGGUGCCAGCCAAUCGCAGGGCACAUACAAACAAACAACCAUUCGCACUCACAUUCACACCUAUGGGCAAUUUAGAGUCCUCAAUCAACCUACCGCGCGUGUUUUUGGGAUGUGGGAAGAAACCGGUGUGCCCGGAGAAAACCCACGCAGGCACGGGGAGAACAUGCAAACUCCACACAGGCGGGGCCGGGAUUUGAACCCCGGUCCUCAGAACUGUGAGGCGGAUCUGCUAACCAGUGGCAUAAAUCAUAACACUAAAAAAAGUAUUCGCACCUUAUCAAUGUUAAAUGAACUGAGACUAUGAUUGAUUGAAUUAAUUGCACUGAAUUGUUUGAAAGUUGUAUUUCAAACUCAAUUGAACUGGACUAUAUUUCUGAACAAACUAUGCUGUGUACUUUGUGGGGCUCUACGUUAUAGGGAGGGGCAGCCCUGCGUGUGCGCGUGCGGGUGUGCGUGUUUCAAGCUGUUUCCCUCUGACAAAACCCCUGGCCCCAGCGCGGACCCCCAGUGAAAUUGGUCUUAAGUGAAUUAAAAGACCAUUUCUUUGCCUUAGUUUGUCAAAAAUACUGUGUUUGUGAAACUGUUAGUCAAAGUGAUUUUGGGCAAUAUCUGAAUUUGCAAAUUCCUAUUUUAGAUUUGUGUCUCUUGACUGUUCAUGCGGCGAUUAAAGAAAUAACUACUCACCA